rnacentral:lncRNA from 1 species
AUCUCUACUUUUGUGCCUCAAGAUCAACAUGCCCAAACACCAAUACAAACAAACGAACAAAAUUAUUCUGCCCCAAUUUUUACUACGAAAAUUUCGUGAGUUAUCUGCAACACAAAUCUAAGUUAUUUCUUUGAAUGCAAUAAAAAUUAGGAUUGUAUAUUCUAGAGAAUAGGGAGUGAAGCCCUAAAUUGGGAAGAUUGCCAGAUUAUGUUGGAAAGAUGACCGGAUUGUGCCAGAAAAGAAAAAGGGUAAAAUAAGGUCCCCGGGUUAUGCCGGAGAAAAGGAAAAAGGUCAUUGGGUUAUGCCGGGGAGGUCCACGGGUUAUGCCGGGAGAAAAGAAAAAAGGUCCUUGGGUUAUGCCAGAGAGGUUCGCGGGUUAUGCCGGGAGAAAAGGAAAACGGUCCCCGGGUUAUGCCGGGGAGGUCCACGGGUUAUGCCGAGAGAAAAGGAAAAAGGUCCCUGGGUUAUGCUGGGGAGGUCCACGGGUUAUGCCGGGAGAAAUGAAAACCGUCCCCGGGUUAUGCAGGAAGAAAAGAAAAGGGUCCCCGGGUUAUGUCGGGGAGGUUCCCGGGUUAUGCCAGGAGAAAAGGAAAAAAGGUCCCUGGAUUAUGCCAGGGAGGUCCACGGGUUUUGUCAAGAGAAAAGGAAAAAAGGUCCUCGGGUAUGCUGGGAGAAAAGGAAAAAGGUCGUCGGGCUAUGCCGGGAAUGUCCACGGGUUAUGCUGGGAGAAAAGAAAAAAAGGUCCUUGGUUAUGCCAGGGAGGUCCGCUGGAUAUCCCGGGAGAAAAGGAAAAGGUCCUCGGGAUAUGCCGGGGAGGUCCACGGGUUAUGCCGGGAGAAAAUGAAAAAUGUCCCUGGGUUAUGCCAUGGAGUUCCACGGGUUAUGCAGGGGAUAACUAGGGAAUGGGGCCCUAUCUUGGAAGGAUGCAGCUAGAGAUUGGAGGCCAUAUGCUACCAUGAUUUUGAAAUUUCCUUUUUUUAGUUUAAAAAAAUGAGUAAAAAUUCAGGAAAGAAUUUGAAGAAGACUUCCUUUUGGAUUGAUUAUUGCUGCAAAGCUAUUUCUAGCUCUUGCGAAUUUUCCUUUUGGUUGUACCUUCUUCUUGUAUGAUUGCUUUGGAUUGUACCUAUUUCAAUUUUUCAAACAAAGAACAAUUUGUUAGUUUGAAACGCUUGUUGGAUUUGUGGCCUUGGGCGCUUUAGUCACUUGAUUUCAACGCGGCUUCUUUGAUGAAGAUCUCAACUACAACUGCUUGUUUCCUGAGGACCGAUUUCAUUUCAGGCCAUGGAGAACCCCUUAUUUUUCUAGACUUUGCCAUACGAUUGGUCUGUGGAACUCAACCUUAUCGAUUUCAUUUUGUCCUCAUACGCCAUUCCCUUUUGACUCCUUUUUUUUACCCUUUUUUUUAACUUCGGAGCAUUGGGGAACCUUUGGCUCCUCAAACAUUGCAGCAAUGGCAAGUCGCGUUGGACUCCAACUUUGUUUCGCCUUCAUAGGCCUAUCAUUUAUGGAUUCUUUCUUCUGACUUCAAUUUCAGAGUAUUUGGGAUCCCUUGGCUUUUCAAAUCUUCGUCGAGACAGUUAGCCACGUAUGACUUAACCUUUUUCACAUUUAUUUGCCUUUAUAGGCACUUCAAUUUGAUUUUCUCCUUCCGAGAGUUUUGGUUUCGAAAAGGUCGACUUGAUGCACUCGAUGAGACUUGGUACUUUCUUUAGAUUUGGCUUUUAUUAAGCGGGACCCUGUAAAACCAAUCUUGCCAACUUUUCUUUGUAUUAGUUUCGGAAACAGAGUUAGACCGAAAGGGAUUCAAGGAAAAGUAAACAAAGGACAAAAAAAUUAAUUUAAAGAGAAGUGUCCCUUUCGGGGAGGAAAGGAGGACUUAUCUGGGGUGCAUGCAGACGUCAAUAGACAUGACAUGCUUCUUGACUAGGUGCCAAAUCCGCACAAACUAAUCCAACUUUUCAUAAACCCAUUGCGGCCCUUGUUUCAAAAUCGAGAAACCUUGCCAGGACUCUUUCAAUACCAAUGGUGUUGAGGGGUUUCUUUGUUUCGAUCAACGACGCCUUUUGCAGGUUUUUGCCAAUCGACCUCUCUCAUUUUUCUUCUUACCAUUGCCUUAUAGUGCUAUUUUAUGAGUUUUCACUAACAAGACUCUUUCAUUUUCAAUUUCUCUGCUCACCAUCGCAUCACGGUGCCCAUAGGUUUUCACCAAUAAGACUCCCUCAUUUUAUUUCUCUCAUUUUAACUGCAUCAGAUCUAAAUAACUGCGUUUUUUCCGAUUUUUUUUUGAAAACCUUUCGUCGAUUAAUCGGAAGGAUUUGAACAAGGUUUGGGGUAACAAGAAAUGGGAUAGAAUUACAACUUUGGAACAGUCCAGGUGGGAUCAUCGCCGAACCACUAUAACAUCUGCCCUAGUUUCACUUUCGGGGAGGGGGAACUAGAUUUUUAUUUUGUUGUGACUGAACCCCAGAGAGAGGCUGCCUACGUAUCCUUUCAGAAUCAAGUCGAACGUAGUUCAGGGAAAACAUUAUAUUUUUGUUUUUGUUUUUGUUUUUGUUUUUUGUUUUUUUAUUACAAAAUCUUCAAGUUCCAAAGAGGGUAAUGAAAGAAAUAUAACCAGCUCAAAGGGUUUAGUAAAAGAUUGGAGUGUUUGGGGGUAACGAGAAUGAAACCCUUCGUCAUACCAAUCAAGAAAUGCUAUUGUUGCAGAAGGUUUAGACGUAAUACCAUUUGACUGCAUCUGCAUUCACCUGCAUUCACAGCUGUUUCAGGGUCAUUCCCUUUAAUGUCUCCCAAAUACAAUGCCUUUUUUGGCAACAUUUUUCUAAUAAUGUAUGGGCCUUUCCAGUUGGGAGAAAAUUUUCCUUUUUCUUCCUGAUGAUGGGGGAGAAUACGCCUCAAAACGAGUUGACCCACUUCAAAAUUUCUAGGCCACACUUUCUUGUUGUAGGCACGGGCCAUUUUUUGUUGGUACCACUGCUCGUGGCAGGCCGCGGCCAUUCGCUUUUCAUCAAUCAGGGUUAACUGUUCCAAACGGGUUUUGACCCACUCACUGUCUUCAAUUUCAGCCUUAACAAUAAUCCGGAAAGAAGGUAUUUCUACCUCUGCGGGUAUUACGGCUUCAGUGCCAUAAACCAAUAGGUAUGGGGUUGCUUCGACCGAUGUGGGAACCAUAGAGCGAUACCCUAACAACGCAAAAGGCAACUUUUUAUGCCACUGUCUGGAACAUUGAAUCAUCUUUCUCAAAAUCUUUUUAAUGUUCUUAUUUGCUGCUUCGACGGCACCAUUGGCUUUAGGCCGAUAAGGAGUAGAGUUCGGAUGCGUUAUUUUGAAUUGUUCGCAUAUCUCUCUUAUUAAAUGACUAUUCAAGUUUGCAGCUUUAUCUGUGAUGAUGGUUGUAGGGAUACCGAAAUGACAGAUAAGAUUGGAGUGCACGAAAUCUACCACAACUUUCUUGGUGAUAAAUUUGAGCGUGAUUGCUUCAACCCACUUCGUGAAAUAGUCGAUGGCAACUAGUAUGAAUCUGUGUCCAUUUGAAGAUUUCGGCUCAAUCGGCCCAAUGACAUCCAUGACUCAAGCAACAAACGGCCAAGGUGCUGACAUGGGAUGCAGUUCUGUAGGCGGUGCAUGAAUCAAAUCACUGUGCACCUGGCAUUGAUGACAUUUCCAGACGAAACUAAAGAAGUCUUUUUCCAUAGUCAUCCAAUAAUAACCCGCUCGAAGGAUUUUCUUUGCCAAAACAUACCCAUUCAUGUGGGGUCCGCACGCUCCUACGUGCACUUCAUACAUGAUUUUUCCGGCGUCUUCGGCAUCCACACAUCUUAGCAAGUUGAGGUUCGGGGUCCUUUUAUACAAGACAUCACCACUCGAGAAGAAACCACUUGCGUGUCAUCUAAUGGUUCUCUUUUGGUCUCAACUGGCUUGCUCGGGGUAUUCUUUAGUUUUCAAAAAUCUUUUGAUGUCAUGAUACCAUUGCUAAACAUUUGGUUCUGCCUCAACUGUAUUACAGUAGCUGUGUCUUUCCCUGAUUUGAUUUUUCGAGGGAUCAAUGUGGGCAUUGCCUGGGUAUGGCAGCAUCGAGGCUAAAGUGGCAAGUGCGUCAGCUAGUUUAUUGUGGCAACUAGGGAUGUACCUGAACUCUAUUGACUUGAAUCGCUUUCCAAGAUCUUCCACAUGUUGCCUAUAAGGAAUAAGCUUGACAUAUCGGGUUUCCCAUUCUCCUUGAGCUUGUCAGAUAAUUAGAUCUGAGUGUCUCGUGACUAAUAGUCCUUCAACAUUUUGGUCGAUUGCCAUGUUCAUACCCAUAAUACAGGCUUCGUACUCGGCAGUGUUGUUCGUGCAGAAGAAUCGGAGUUGUGGCAGGAUAAUUCUGACCAGUGGGUGAGAUCAAGAUUGCCCCAAUUCCAACACCUUUUGUGUUUACUUCCCCAUCAAAGAACACUUUCCAUGAAUUGGUGUCUUCACAUAUUGCCUCAACUGAAUUUGUCACACCUCCUUUCUUCACUACACCCCGAAGAGGGUGUAUAUAAGGGAGUUUUUUCCAACUUAAAGUGACAAUCGAAAUGGGAUUAUUUAUUUGAAGAUUCAGAGUCGCCACUUGGGAUAAUUAAUGGUGUCCCAAGUCACCAGUUGAAUCCUGAAUCGAGGAAAAGCUUGACUCAGUUUAACAGUAUGCGAACCAGAAAUCUGAGUAAGGAAUUUUGUUAACCCAGGAGAAGGUGUUAGGCAUUACCGAGUUUUGUGGUUCUAGCACGGUCGCUCAACUGUUAUAUUCGGAUUAAUUAUCUGAUUUUAAACAAUUAUGAACCUAUGUGCAGAUUUUAGUUUUAACCGCCUUUAUUCAUUUGUUUUGAAGAAAAUUGCAACAUUAUUAAAACACAUCUCGAACCAAGUCACAUAAAUGCACCAGUGGUUUUUGACAUAUCGUAACAUCGUUGAGAUUUGGAUUUGGGCCAAAUAAAUGCGCACCCGAAUUUAGGAAAGUAAUAUUAUUAAAUGACGUGCCUAAAGCAACUACGCGUUUUAUGAAUAUUAAAGGCCUAAGCAUGCUCCUAAGGAUCCAAAAACACAUCCAUAAGCAAUGUCUAAACAACAUACAACUCCAAUCAUUACAAAAUUCAAUUGACAUUGUUACUCAAUCCCAAUAUCACUUUAGUCUAAUCCACUUUCAUGUUUAGCCCACAAAUCGCACAACUUAUUACUUCUCGUCAAUUUUCCAACUUAUAUUCUUGCAUCCUAAUUUCGAAACAUCUUCUUUUUACCAAAAACGUUUCUUAAGACUUGAUUCACCUUCAUGUUAUCAACUACAUGGAGCAAUUGCUCAAAACACAGUAAACUCCGCUAAGGCUACACACCAUAUCAACCACAAACUAUUUAAAUCAAACUCAGACAAUUUACACAAAAUUAAAUAUAUAAACACAGAAUCGUACCAAGAGCAAAGUAAAGAGCAUCAACUCACAUAAUCAGCCAAAUAAAAUUAUGAGCAGACAAGGUCGCUAAAAUUGGAAAAUGUAGGAACAUGGACCUUAAGACAGAAACUAACAAAGCUAAAAUGAAAAUUCAUCCAAAAUCUCAAAUCGUCACAAACUCAUGUUUUACUCGGUUCUUAAUUUCACCUUUUCGAACUCAGCGAAGACGUAUUCAAUAAAAUGAAGAGUGUCCAUUGACUGUCAUUAAUCAGUGAAAUUCCAUAAUAGUAACCGAUUACUUAUUCAAUUUCAGCAACUAGGCUCGACAUAAUUAUUGGAACAAAGCAGCCAUUCGAUAGUCACAUAUCAACGAAUCCACAUGAUCACACCAAAACAGAGCAAGAAAAACUGAGGGACGAGACUAACCUGAAAGAAUCUUUAAAAACAAAUUUCAGAAUCGAAAAUAACCUCGCCUCAAUCUCAAUACCCAAAUCGUAAACUCAGUCGGACUAAACGGUGGAAAUUCUGAACUCCACGGCCCCUCAAUCAGUUUCCAUGAAAGAACAGUCAAAACAAGACUGAAUCUCUUUUUUUCUUAUUUUUGAAUUAAACCAAACUAAAAAACAAACUAAAAUCAAAGAUGGAAAACCAAAAUCAGAAGAUUAAUUAAGGUUGAAUUAAGUGUGAAGAGGGUGAGGAAUGACUGAUUUUUUGGGGGAUAAACAGUGGUGAUUUGCUGCGCUGGUUCAGGGAGGUUGAAGAUGAAGGGGUGUCGCCGUUUUCCAGCCACUCGCCGGUGAGGUAGUAGCGGAACGAAGGGGUGAGGCGUGGGGUUUUCUGGUUUGUCGGUUCUACUGCUAAUGGCGUCGAUGGUCCGUUGAAGAAGAAGAGAGAGACGAUAUGGGUAGGGUUAUUUUGGUCGAAGAUGGCUGAUGAUGAAGGAUGAGCUCAAAGGGGCGGGGGUAUGUGAAGAAGACGAU